rnacentral:rRNA from 1 species
UACGUAGGGGGCAAGCGUUGUCCGGAAUCAUUGGGCGUAAAGAGCGUGUAGGCGGUUCGAUAAGUCUGCUGUGAAAGUCCAAGGCUCAACCUUGGGAUGCCGGUGGAUACUGUCGAACUCGAGUCCGGAAGAGGAGUGUGGAAUUCCUGGUGUAGCGGUGAAAUGCGCAGAUAUCAGGAGGAACACCGAUGGCGAAGGCAGCA